rnacentral:rRNA from 1 species
GACGAACGCUGGCGGCGUGCUUAACACAUGCAAGUCGAACGGAAAGGCCCUGCUUUUGUGGGGUGCUCGAGUGGCGAACGGGUGAGUAACACGUGAGUAACCUGCCCUUGACUUUGGGAUAACUUCAGGAAACUGGGGCUAAUACCGGAUAGGAGCUCCUGCUGCAUGGUGGGGGUUGGAAAGUUUCGGCGGUUGGGGAUGGACUCGCGGCUUAUCAGCUUGUUGGUGGGGUAGUGGCUUACCAAGGCUUUGACGGGUAGCCGGCCUGAGAGGGUGACCGGCCACAUUGGGACUGAGAUACGGCCCAGACUCCUACGGGAGGCAGCAGUGGGGAAUAUUGCACAAUGGGCGGAAGCCUGAUGCAGCAACGCCGCGUGCGGGAUGACGGCCUUCGGGUUGUAAACCGCUUUCGCCUGUGACGAAGCGUGAGUGACGGUAAUGGGUAAAGAAGCACCGGCUAACUACGUGCCAGCAGCCGCGGUGAUACGUAGGGUGCGAGCGUUGUCCGGAUUUAUUGGGCGUAAAGGGCUCGUAGGUGGUUGAUCGCGUCGGAAGUGUAAUCUUGGGGCUUAACCCUGAGCGUGCUUUCGAUACGGGUUGACUUGAGGAAGGUAGGGGAGAAUGGAAUUCCUGGUGGAGCGGUGGAAUGCGCAGAUAUCAGGAGGAACACCAGUGGCGAAGGCGGUUCUCUGGGCCUUUCCUGACGCUGAGGAGCGAAAGCGUGGGGAGCGAACAGGCUUAGAUACCCUGGUAGUCCACGCUGUAAACGGUGGGUACUAGGUGUGGGGUCCAUUCCACGGGGUUCCGUGCCGUAGCUAACGCUUUAAGUACCCCGCCUGGGGAGUACGGCCGCAAGGCUAAAACUCAAAGGAAUUGACGGGGCCCCGCACAAGCGGCGGAGCAUGCGGAUUAAUUCGAUGCAACGCGUAGAACCUUACCUGGGUUUGACAUGGAUCGGGAGUGCUCAGAGAUGGGUGUGCCUCUUUUGGGGUCGGUUCACAGGUGGUGCAUGCCUGUCGUCAGCUCGUGUCGUGAGAUGUUGGGUUAAGUCCCGCAACGAGCGCAACCCUUGUUCACUGUUGCCAGCACGUUAUGGUGGGGACUCAGUGGAGACCGCCGGGGUCAACUCGGAGGAAGGUGGGGAUGACGUCAAGUCAUCAUGCCCCUUAUGUCCAGGGCUUCACGCAUGCUACAAUGGCCGGUACAGAGAGUGGCGAGCCUGUGAGGGUGAGCGAAUCUCGGAAAGCCGGUCUCAGUUCGGAUUGGGGUCUGCAACUCGACCUCAUGAAGUCGGAGUCGCUAGUAAUCGCAGAUCAGCAACGCUGCGGUGAAUAAAUUCCCGGG